rnacentral:ncRNA from 1 species
AAACGUUCUCAGGGCGGGGUGCAACUCCCCACCGGCGGUGAUGCGGAUCCUGUCCGCGAGCCCGCGAGCGCGGCAUCUGCCGGGGUCAGCAGAUCCGGUGCGAUCCCGGAGCCGACGGUCACAGUCCGGAUGAAAGAGAACAGCG